rnacentral:rRNA from 1 species
UUGAACGCUGGCGGCAUGCUUUACACAUGCAAGUCGCACGGCAGCGCGGGCUUCGGCCUGGCGGCGAGUGGCGAACGGGUGAGUAAUGCAUCGGAACGUGCCCAGUAGUGGGGGAUAGCCCGGCGAAAGCCGGAUUAAUACCGCAUACGACCUGAGGGUGAAAGCGGGGGACCGAAAGGCCUCGCGCUAUUGGAGCGGCCGAUGUCGGAUUAGCUAGUUGGUGGGGUAAAGGCUUACCAAGGCGACGAUCCGUAGCUGGUCUGAGAGGACGACCAGCCACACUGGGACUGAGACACGGCCCAGACUCCUGCGGGAGGCAGCAGUGGGGAAUUUUGGACAAUGGGGGCAACCCUGAUCCAGCCAUGCCGCGUGCGGGAAGAAGGCCUUCGGGUUGUAAACCGCUUUUGUUCGGGAAGAAAUCCUCUGGGCUAAUACCCCGGGGGGAUGACGGUACCGGAAGAAUAAGCACCGGCUAACUACGUG